UGGUCUAAUACUUCAUAAUAUCCAUCUCGUAUGGAUUAAAGCUUUAUGCGCUUUGGGAGGGGCCUGCGUAACAUUAGCUUGUUGGUGAGGUAAAAGCUCACCAAGGCUUCGAUGUUUAACUGGUUUGAGAGGAUGACCAGUCACACUGGGACUGAGAUACGGCCCAGACUCCUACGGGAGGCAGCAGUAAGGAAUCUUCCACAAUGGGGCAACCCUGAUGGAGCAAUACCGCGUGCAGGAUGAAGCGUUUCGGCGUGUAAACUGCUUUUAUCACCGAAGAUUAUGACUGUAGGUGAAGAAUAAGGACCGGCUAACUACGUG
rnacentral:rRNA from 1 species